UCAGAAGAAAAAACAGAGAUAAAGUUUGUGAUAAUGUUUGUCUAUAUAGCUAUGAAUGUUUUUUCCUGUUUCCUUCAGGGCCA
rnacentral:miRNA from 1 species